UACGUAGGGGCCUAGCGUUGUCCGGAUUUAUUGGGUCGUAAAGAGCUCGUAGGCGGCCAACUAAGUCAGACGUGAAAUCCCGUACGGCUUAACCGGGGAACUGCGUCUGAUACUGGAUGGCUUGAGUUUGGGAGAGGGAUGCGGAAUUCCAGGUGUAGCGGUGAAAAUGCGUAGAUAUCUGGAGGAACACCGGUGGCGAAGGCGGCAUCCUGGACCAACACUGACGCUGAGACGCGAAAGCGUGGGGAGCAAACAGGGAU
rnacentral:rRNA from 1 species